rnacentral:lncRNA from 1 species
UUUUUUUUUUUUUUUUUUGGUCUUUUGUCUUUUUUUAAGGGCCGUACCCAUGGCUUAAGGAGAUGCCCAGACUAGGGGUCCAAUUGGAGCUGGCCUACACCACAGCCACUUCAGUGAAGAAUCCAAGCUGCGUCUGUGACCUACUCCACAGCUCACGACAAUGCUGGAUCCUUAACCCACUGAGGGAGGCCAGGGAUCGAACCCGCAUCCUCAUGGAUACUAGAUGGGUUUGUUAACUGCUGGGCCACGAUGGGAACUCCUGAAAGAUCACAAUAUUUAAAAGCUGACAUUUAAAUUUUCAAAAAGAUGGCAAAGGCAUCAUUAUAACUUGAAGACCAAGUACAAGUCUGCCACCGCUGCUGUGCAGCACUGUGGAGCAUGCCUGGUGCGAGUGACCUCUGGGGAAGAAUUGUGUCAGGUUUGUUUGACCAGACCUGAGAAGCAGCUAAUGGGGCCUAAAUCAAAUGCCUGCAAAAACUCUGCCCUUCUGUCCUGGGGUAAAGUGUAACAUGGUGCAGGCAGAGAGCAAAUGGCCCAAAAUGAACCAUUCAGUUCUGAUAGUACAUCUGUGCUGGUCAGAUAGGAGAGGGGUGGGGGCGGGGGCCCAGGUUUGGUGUCAAUUUUGUAGGAUUUGUUGUGCCUACUUCCCAGAACCUUUGAAAGAAUAAAACAUCCCGGAUUUGGAAAGGGGUUGAAUUUUUUCCUAAAAUGUGAGGCAGGUGCUAAGUGGGGUCAUGAGGAGUUUCAUGUUUGGGGAAUGAUGAUGGCUUCUACAAAAGCUGACCUCUGAGAUGCUGGACACAAGCUCUGGCAGGAAAUGAAGAGGAAAGAAUGUGUCAGCUGUCCUGCUCCGGUGGGUUUGAGAAGGAGGCCGAAUGCUGCUCUUUUCUGGGACAUGGGGUUUGGGGAGUCAGUGUGGAGUUGAGAAACACCCACGGCCAUAAACGGCGGUGCUGCUCCAAACAGCUGAGCUCACCCCCAGGCUUCGUGAACCUCACACUGGACGUUUCAACUGACAUAAACUUCCAACCUUUCCAUCAGUUCCCCUGAGUGAGGGCUUUAUAUUUUAUAGACUAUUUCAUAUUGCCAUUUAGGAGAGUUGAACCAUUACUUCUAUUAAGAAAGUGGCACUGAGUUCUCGUCGUGGCUCAGUGGGUAACAAAUCCAAGGAAUAUCCAUGAGGUUGCAGGUUCGAUCCCUGGCCUCCCUCAGUGGGUUAAGGAUCUGGCGUUGCCGUGAGCUGUGGUGUAGGUCACAGACACAGCUUGGAUCCUGCAUUGCUGUGGCUGUGGUGUAGGCCGGAAGUUGUAGCUCAAAUUUGACCCCUAGCCUGGGAACCUCCUGGUGCCGUGGGUGCGUCCCUAAAAAGCAAAAAAAAUUAAAAUAGUUAAGAUGGUAAUUUUUAAAACUUUUUUUUUUUUUUGCUUUUUAGGGCCGCUCCCACGGCAUAUGGAAGUUUCUGGCCUAGGGGUUGAAUCGGAGCUAUAGCUGCCAGCCUGUGGGCAGCCACAGCCAUGCCAGAUCCGAGCCGUGUCUUUGAAUUACACCACAGCUCAUGGCAACUCUGGAUCCUUAACCCACUGAUCGAGGCCAGGGAUUGAACCUGCAACCUCAUGGUUCCUAGUAGGACUCGUUUCAGCUGUGCCACCUUGGGAACUCCUAAACCACAAUUUUUUUUUUCUGUCUUUUUUUUUGGUCUUUUCUAGGGCCAUACCUGCGGCAUAUGGAGGUUCCCAGGAAAUGGCAAAAAGACAAAAAAUAAAUAAAUUAAUUAAAUAAAAUAAAGUGAAGGUCUGCAAGAAGUACAGAGGAAAGAAUAAGGCUGCCCUCUAUUUGCUCACAAUCUAGUGGAAAAAAUUUACAAUAUAAAGUGUUACAGGAGUUUCCAUCGUAGCUCAGUGGAAACGAAUCUGACUAACAUUCAUGAGGAAGCAGGUUCGACCCCUGG